UUUUUUACAUUUCUACACGUCAACGUUAUUGGUUAUAACGGACAAAAGUGCGAAAGUAAUUAUUACCAGAAAUCCACUCAGGAAAUCCAAAGAUGUGAACGCUGCAAUCAAGAGUGUUCUGAGGAUAAAAAUGAGAAGGAAGUUACUCCAUGCACUCAGACCAGCAAUAGAGUUUGCCUCUGUAAACCAGGUUUUUAUUGCACUAGUGGGAAACAAUUAUCAAACACACUGCCAUCAACCAUGUGUUCCCUGUGGAAAAGGCAUGUUUCGCAGCACACCAUCUCUGGAAGACUGCAGUCCUCAUACAGAUUGUGCUCGGUUGGGAAUGAUAAUGCUCAGAGAGGGCACAGCGACACAGGACAAUGAGUGUGGGAAUGCCACAACAGUGAAGCCAACCUCAUCCUCUACCAAAAAUAUCAUUACUACCACCACUUUCAAUAGCACGUCCAUUCCCAUGACAGAGGAUAAGAAGGAAGUUACUCCAUGCACUAGAGUUUGCAUCUGUAAACCAGGUUUUUAUUGCACUAGUGGAAUUAAUUUGGACACAAACUGCCAUAAACCAUGUGUUCCCUGUGGAAAAGGCACGUUCUCCAGCACAGCAUCUCUAGAAGCAUGCACUCCUCAUACUGAUUGUGCUCGGUUGGGAAUGAUAAUGCUCAGAGAGGGCACAGCGACACAGGACAAUGAGUGUGGGAAUACCACAACAGAGAAGCCAGCCUCGUCCUCUACCAAAAAUAUCAUUACUACCACCACUUUCAAUAGCACGUCCAUUCCCAUGACAGCAGGGGUCACUGUACAACUCAAAGACAAGGCAGAAGAGAUCCAGUCCCACUUGCUGCUGCUAUUAAUCUUAAUGUUGAUAAUCUUGUUCAUGGCUGGAUUCUGUAUCCUGAAGAAAAGCGUGGCAAAGAAAACCCUUUUAAAAUGGUUUGGUUUUAUAAACAGACAACGUGAAGAUUAUCCACCCCAGAGUCAAACUGAAUAUGACAAUCAAAUUUUGUCUAAUUCCCAAUUGGAGACUACAGUACCAGUCGGCAGUGCUGGCAGAGAGGUCAAAGGUCAGAGUACGGGGCCCAUGCCCCAAUCCGGAGCUGUGCAGCAGGUCACAAUGGAGCACAAUGGGAAGGGUGAGAACGUCAGCAAUACUGUUGGAUCCAUCUACAUCUACUCUCCUGGAAUGGUGAUUUUGGGCUCCAACUCGGGUGAUAAAAAGGAAGAGGCAGGACUUUGCGAAGAAGGCGUUCCCCUCAUCAGCAGACCGCAGCAAGAGUCAAAUCCACCCUCGCAAGAGGUCAGAAUCAGAAUAAGCGCACCGGAAGAGGCUGAGGAGGAACUGAGCUUGAGUUUUCCUGUGCCAGCAACUGAAAAAGUGAGAACUUGAACAUGUGGUUUCUUGCAUGAACUUCAGAAUGGCCUUCAGGAAGAUACCAGGUUGAAUCACAAGGCUGAAAACACACAAGCUGCCAGUUUUAAGAUUCCCGGUAAAGGAUGGCAUCAGAAAGGCCCAAGUCAUGGUUUCAGUUCCAGAGAAACAUGCACACUGGCUAAAUGUACAGGCUACCUUGAUUGCAACGUAUGUCAAAUACAGAAUGUGCAGAUGUACCAGAUGGGAAUCAACAAGUAAUGAUUUUAGCUUUUUUUGCACAUCAAGAAAAAAGAUUUAUGCUUAAUUUAAGUCGGUCAAUUUUUAUAAAUGCACAUGUCGGUAUUGCCGCUUCAGCAAAACUGGGGCAAAAACAAGCAUGAAGACUGUGCACAGGAGGUACAGACAAAAGGGUGAGAACAACACCCACCACGAAGGUGUUAGGAGUUUUCAUAACGUGCAUCCUAUAAGACAGUAUAAAUGACACGCACAUGGCGUGUAUGAAUUGUUUUAUUGUUUUAAGUGAGUGGUCGAGAACCUAACGACUAGAUCUAUAUGUUUUUUAAACAGACUUUUGCUCUACUGUGUGGGUGUUUCAUAUGCAUGUCUGAAAAAUACCCAACCUCACCUUCGGAAAGAAGUGUCUGAUUUGACUGUUGUAGGAGGUCGUGUUGGGACAAGCUGUAUUCACCCUGCAACCUUUACAGAGCAUGAUCAAAAUGACAUUUCUAGUGUUGCAGUAGAAGACGCUUCUCACAUCUCACAUCCUCCAGACACUUGAGCUUGUGUUGUUUUGCAUGUUUUUUUUGUAAUUUGUCAAUGAAUGUGUUCUGAUGCUUUAUUAUUAUGAAUUCAAUAAAGUCCAUUCCUUCAGCAAUUACAGAAUGUCUCUCUCUCUAUCAUACUGUCUUUCUAUCAUUCUGUUGUUUUUUUCUACUGUUCUAUCAUUUAUUCUC
ensembl:lncRNA